rnacentral:rRNA from 1 species
AACGAACGCUGGCGGCAGGCUUAACACAUGCAAGUCGAACGCCCCGCAAGGGGAGUGGCAGCCGGGUGAGUAACGCGUGGGAACAUACCCUUUUCUACGGAAUAGCCCUGGGAAACUGGAAUUAAUACCGUAUACGCCCUACGGGGGAAAGAUUUAUCGGGGAAGGAUUGGCCCGCGUUGGAUUAGCUAGUUGGUGUGGUAAAGGCCUACCAAGGCGACGAUCCAUAGCUGGUCUGAGAGGAUGAUCAGCCACAUUGGGACUGAGACACGGCCCAAACUCCUACGCAAGUCAGCAGUUUUUCUUACUCGACCAUGGCCGCACGCCUGAUCCAGCCACGCCGCGUGUGUGAUGGAGGCCUUAGCGUUGUACACCUCUUUCUGCGAUGACGAUAAUGACGGUAGUCGGAGAAGAAGCCCCGGCUAACUUCGUG